rnacentral:tRNA from 1 species
GGUUCCGUAGUGUAGUGGUUAUCACGUUCGCUUCACACGCGAAAGGUCUCCAGUUCGAUCCCGGACGGAACCA